rnacentral:rRNA from 1 species
UACGUAGGCAGCGAGCGUUGUUCGGAGUUACUGGGCGUAAAGGGUGUGUAGGCGGUUGUUUAAGUUUGGUGUGAAAUCUCCCGGCUCAACUGGGAGGGUGCGCCGAAUACUGAAUGACUUCGAGUGCGGGAGAGGAGAGUGGAAUUCCUGGUGUAGCGGUGAAAUGCGUAGAUGUCAGGAGGAACACCGGUGGUGUAGACGGCUCUCUGGACCGUAACUGACGCUGAGACACGAAAGCGUGGGUAGCAAACAGG